CAGCACCCCAAGUGGUCAGGAUGAUUAUUGGGCCUAAAGCAUCCGUAGCCGGCGCUGUAAGUUUUCGGUUAAAUCUGUACGCUCAACGUACAGGCUGCCGGGAAUACUGCAGCGCUAGGGAGUGGGAGAGGUAGACGGUACUCGGUAGGAAGGGGUAAAAUCCUUUGAUCUAUUGAUGACCACCUGUGGCGAAGGCGGUCUACCAGAACACGUCCGACGGUGAGGGAUGAAAGCUGGGGGAGCAAACCGGAUUAGAUACCCGGUAGUC
rnacentral:rRNA from 1 species